rnacentral:rRNA from 1 species
AAAGUGGGGGAUAGUUCGGCGAAACCNGAAUUAAUACCGCAUGUGAUCAGCCAAGACAUCUUGGCGACAUUAAAGCCGGGGCAACCUGGCGCUUUUAGAUGAGCCCGCGGCCUAUCAGCUAGUUGGUGGGGUAACGGCCUACCAAGGCGGUGACGGGUAGCUGGUCUGAGAGGACGACCAGCCACACUGGAACUGAGACACGGUCCAGACACCUACGGGUGGCAGCAGUCGAGAAUUUUUCUCAAUGGGGGAAACCCUGAAGGAGCGACGCCGCGUGGAGGAUGAAGGCUUUCGGGUUGUAAACUCCUGUCAUUUGGGAACAAUGCUUACCGAGUAACUGCCGGUAAGUUGAUAGUACCAGAAGAGGAAGAGAC